rnacentral:pre_miRNA from 1 species
AUUCUACUCCCUCCGUUGCACAAUACAUGCCUUCUAUUUGUCAAAAUAUAUAUGUAUCUAGACAUGUUUUAGUAUAUAGGUACAUCCGUUUUUGGACAAAUGGAAGUCAAGUAUUUUGGAAUGGAGGGAGUACACA